rnacentral:rRNA from 1 species
AAUAUUGGUCAAUGGAGGCAACUCUGAACCAGCCAAGUCGCGUGAAGGAUGACUGCCCUACGGGUUGUAAACUUCUUUUUUAAGGGAAUAAAGUGAGCCACGUGUGGCUUUUUGCAUGUACCUUACGAAUAAGGAACGACUAACUCCGUACCAGCAGCCGAGGUAAUACGGAGGAUCCGAGCGUUAACCGGAUUUAUUGGGUUUAAAGGGUGCGCAGGCCGAAUAUUAAGUCGGCGGUUAAAGUUUUCAGCUUAACUGUAAAAUUGCCGUUGAAACUGGUUUUCUUGAGUGUAUAUGAAGUAGGCGGAAUUUGUAGUGUAGCGGUGAAAUGCAUAGAUAUUACAAGGAACUCCGAUUGCGAAGGCAGCUUACUAAAAUACAACUGACGCUCAGGCACGAAGGCGUGGGUAUCAAACA